rnacentral:lncRNA from 1 species
AGCCAAGAGAUAUGCAGGUUGUGCUUAGCAGCCGAUCAGUUUGAGACCUGCGAGGCCGCAUCCCCAGGGUUUUUCAUCUCUUCUGUUUCCAUUUGUGUGAGUACAGAAAAAAUAAUUCUAUCAAGGGGCAUCAUGGGAUGUGGGAAAUUAUAAGCACUAAAACACAGAACAACUUAGGGAGCUAUGCACCCAGGAGGAAUUCAUGACCACAUAGGGGGGAAAAAAUAAGAGUUUCUGGUGGGGAGUGGAGUAAUAGUUUUUUUUUUUUUCUUUUCUUUUCUUUUUGAGACAGAGUUUCACACUGUCGCCCGGGCUGGAGUGCAAUGGCACAAUCUCGGCUCACUGCAACCACCUGCCGGGUUCUCGCAAUUCUGCCUCAGUCUCCGGAGUAGCUGGAUUUUUUUUUUCCCUCACUCUAUAGGAAAUCCAUUUGCUGUAAUUUAUAUCCAUCAUUAAAUCUCACCAUAUCCAUUUGACUUAGGCCUUUUGGAGUUAGGCAGAAGGGCCCUUCUUCCUGUUUGGCUGACAGCUCAAGUUCCCAGGCAGCCUCAGUAAACUGAGAGAUAGAGCAGAGUGAUUCGUCAAGACUACCUUGUGACUCAGUCAGAUCCCAAAAUAGAAAUGGGGAAACUCUGUUUCAAUCUUGCAGGCUGUAAUUUAAGGAGGAAAACAACUAAUUUUUUUUUGGGUGGGGGGGACAGAGUCUCUGUCUCCCAGGCUGGAGUGCA